AAGUGUCAGGAAAUCAGAGGUCCCACAGCCUGAUAAAGGGUGGAGCAAGCACAGCGUGCGAAUACUUUAUGAAUCAGAGUCGUUUGUCAACAUUGUUGCCAACUGGAAAAAGUCAUGCUACACAUCAGAUCUUAACUCAGAAACUGAGUUAAGAAACUCCAGCACAGAAACUCUGGGAAAGAGAGUCAGGAAAAAGAAAAUAUACUCUUCCUCUGAACAAGAAGAAGAAGAAGAACCACAACCUGCCAAAGUAAAAAAACUUGCAAAUGCACCAAGGCCCCCAGCCCCACCACAAAGACAGAAACAUGGUUCAAAAAAUAACGCACUAACCAGCACCUUUCAGCCUGGAAGAGCAGAGCAGGAGUGGUGUAACAAUCUGUCAGAUAGUCAAG